rnacentral:ncRNA from 2 species
AAUUGUCUUCAGAGGCAGGGUGAAAUUCCCGACCGGUGGUUAAAGUCCAUGACCCACAUAGGGUGGUUGAAGCGGUGUAAUUCCGCUACCGAUAGUUAAAGUCUAGACGAAAGGAGAUAGGG